AAUAGUCUAGAUAAAGCAACUAAAUUGAUCGAAACAUCUUCUUUUCCAGUCACGAAGUUAACUGAUCCCUCGUUGAGCUUAAUUUCAUCUGUCCUCAUAGAGACGGCAUGAAGUAACUUGACAACACAUUCGCCCUUUAUCUUGAUGUAUAUAUUAGAGAUAUCUGAAGAGCAAGAAACUGGGAACAGAACAUCAGCAUCGAAUUGCUGAAUUAAACCUAUAAAUUGCUGAAGAGAUUCAUUGGGAAAACUCCACGGGAUGGAUAAAUCCAAAAGUGUAGAUGCUUUGUUA